UACGUAGGGUGCGAGCGUUAAUCGGAAUUACUGGGCGUAAGGCGUGCGCAGGCGGUGACCCAAGUCAGAUGUGAAAUCCCCGGGCUCAACCUGGGAACUGCAUUUGUGACUGCAAGGCUAGAGUACGGCAGAGGGGGAGUGAAUUCCGCGUGUAGCAGUGAAAUGCGUAGAUAUGCGGAGGAACACCAAUGGCGAAGGCAAUCCCCUGGGCCUGUACUGACGCUCAUGCACGAAAGCGUGGGGAGC
rnacentral:rRNA from 1 species